ensembl:misc_RNA Y_RNA Y RNA
GGCUGGUCUGAGGGCAGUGGUGUUUACAACUAUUGAUCACAAUCAGUUACAGAUUUCUUCGUUCCUGCUCAUCAUUUGAUUAGUCUUAAAUCACCUGCUGCUUCAUUUGAUUAGUCUUAA